rnacentral:lncRNA from 1 species
AUGUCCAAGAGAAGGCUGUGGUUAAACCUACACAACUGUGUUCAAACGUUUGCCAUGAAACAAAGUCUCACUAGGCAUGCCAUUGUGCACGAUCCUGACAAGAAGAAAAUAAAGCUCAAAGUAAAAUCAUCCUGUGGAAAACGGAGUUUGACCUCUCGCCUCAGUGGAUAUAUCCCUCCCAAAAAGAAACAAAAGCAGGACUCAACUUUGCCUACAGAUGGGGAGUUGGAGAGCUAUGAGGAAGAUGGGUGCUUUCCACAGUUGCAGUACUCACCCUCUGGCAAUUACUAUGUUUCCCAGCUUUUACCUAUGAUCAAAAUGGGGAAAAAAAUGUUGAUGGUUCAGGUUCAUCAUUUUGUUUACACGUGGUGCCCAGACACCAGAGGACACUGGGAAUUGAAAAGGGCAUUAUUAUAAAGAUCACAGGUUGCUCCUUAAACUUGCUGUGACUACGGGCAAAGGGAGAAGAAAGGACUACCAGGCUGGAUGGAUGAUCAUACAUAUAAUGAGCUCUUAUUCUCUAGCA